UUGGUACAGAGAAUGGAGCUGCAAGACUCCCCUGGUCAGAUCACGUCGGGUCUCCUGAAGACACCAGGAGGAUUCUACUGUGCACAGGUUGAUUCAGUGUGUUUCCCAGUAAAGAAAAUAGGAUGCGGCCGUGCGCAGUGACUUACACCUGUAAUCCCAGCACUUUGGGAGGCCGAGGCGGGUGGAUCACCUGAGCUUCACGGAGCUACCUGAGUCAGCGCCUGCAUCUCCACCACCAUCAUCAUCGUCACUGUCUUCAUCGCCUCUGGGCUGGACCAGCCCCUGCCUGUGAGCUCCCUGGAGCCAGAGGUGCAAAGUCUGCAAUGACACAAAAAGCCAGCACGCUGGGAGGGGCUCUGGAGACCAUCUCAUUGUUCAUUCAUUUGUCUAUUCAAUCCAUUUUAUUGACUGCUCACUGUGUGCCAGACACAUGGGCCCUGGAGAUACAGAAGAAACACGUGAGGUCCCUGCCCUCCAGGAAUUAAGAAGAUAAAGUCAAAAGUGCUGUAAAGAACAACAGGAUGAUGGGCCAGUAUUUGAAGAGGUCGUUUUCAGAUGGGGUGGGCAGGGAAGGCAUGUCUGAGAAAGGAAUCUUUGUGGACACCUUAAUGCUUAGGACAUGGGGCUGAGAAAAGCAGGCAGAGGAAUUUCAGAUAACGCCUCAGUUGGUAAAAAGCUAGGGGGAUGGUGCAGGCAAGGAAUAGAAGGAAGGACAGUGUGGUGGGAGUUUGGUGGUGAGUGAAAGAGGGGCCUGGGGACCGUGCACACUUGAAGGCUGUAGCCGGGCAUCUGGCUUGGAUUUUGAGGACUGAGGGGACCAUUACAGGGCUUUAGGCAUGGGGAUGGCACGAUCCAAUUUACAUUUUUCAUGUCAUUCCAUCUGCUUCCUGGAGAACACAUGAUAGGAAGAAGGAACGUGGAAGCAGGGAGACCAGUGAGGUGGUAACUCCAGAAACAAAGAGGUGGCGGCUGAUGGGGCGAGUGGGAGGAGCCUGACCCUGGUGGAUUUUGGAGGCACAGAAGGCAAACCUGCUGGGGGAUUGUCUGUGGGGGACAGGGAGAGCAAAGACUGGGUGCCUUCCUCUUCCUGCCUUCCUCUUCCCGCUUUGCACCCCUUCUGGCCUGAAUCAUCUCCCUCAGGGAGUGGUGCCCUCGGGUCCCAAGAGGGCUGCAGACUGCAGGCCUCCCUGAAGUGAAGAUGCAGCAAAGUGGAAGACAGCACACGGAAACCAUGCAGCAGCUCCCUCUGGGGAAGAGAAAGAGGGAGCCACGUUGCUCUAUACCCUGUGGACUUCUUGCAAUAUGAACCUUCAUGGACCUAAGAAAAAUAAUAAUAAAGGAAAAAAUAGCCAGGUGGGCUGGUUCACACCUGGGAUCCCAGCACUUUAGGAG